AAUCACGGUUUCUCGCACGAAUUACACCUGUGCAUGGGAAACGCAGUCAUUCACGAGUCUGUAAUACUGUAAAAAUAACACAAUUAAUUUUGGAACAGUGAGCCUCAGAGGAGGUUGGUGACACCUCAAUUGGGGAUGACGGACUCGUGGUAAUGGCUGGAGCGGAAUCGUGGAAUGUUAUCAAGUACGCCGAACACAUGGUGUCCAUGCCUUUUCCAUGUGUUUGAUGCCAUUCCAUUUGUUCUAUCCAUUAUUAUGAGCCGUCCUCCCCUCGGCAGCCUCCGUUACCAUUGCCAAGCGUAAAGAAUCUACAGACACACAAUUGAAGACCGAUACAAAGAAGCUGAAGCAGGUUGCAAAAUACAUAGGUGGCGGACUAAGAGCCAAAAAAGACCAAGGUUUGGGGAAAUGUUCAUGCUGAACCCAGAUCUUCCCUGUGAGGAGAGGCUUGGACCACAGGCCAUGCUGGAGAGGAGGCUGGGCAGCCUCACUGCUAAAGACCACCAGGAAGUGACAUGUAUCCUGCACACUGAAGGCACUUUGCAGAAACUUUUGUGCAUGUUCGUCUGUUGCAUUUCUUUUUCUCACUGCGAAUGGAGUAUGUUUGUGAGGGAGGACCAUAUUAUUUUGAACAACUUGGGCUCUUAUGCUGUUUCUGUUGGUGCUUAGGUUGUUGCAGCUCUUGUCGACUGCUGCUCUCUCUGCAGCCCCUGUCACUGAAGCCUCCCCAUCAGCCAAGGGUACAGCCUGACUGAAGGCUUUUGGGUUGUUCUACGAAAUGAGUGCAUUUUGCAUCCCUUUUGAUAUUUUUAAGUAGAAAUUGUGCACCAAUAUUGGAUUUUAAAAGCAUUUUAUAUUACAUGAAGUGCCCUUUAAUAUAGACCACAUGGAGUAUUCAAUAAAUCAGAUUUUUUACAUGAAUAAAGACUUGCUAAA